UACGUAGGUGGCAAGCGUUAUCCGGAAUUAUUGGGCGUAAAGAGCGCGCAGGUGGUUGAUUAAGUCUGAUGUGAAAGCCCACGGCUUAACCGUGGAGGGUCAUUGGAAACUGGUCGACUUGAGUGCAGAAGAGGGAAGUGGAAUUCCAUGUGUAGCGGUGAAAUGCGUAGAGAUAUGUAGGAACACCAGUGGCGAAGGCGGCUUCCUGGUCUGUAACUGACGCUGAGGCGCGAAAGCGUGGGGAGCAAACAGGAUUAGAUACCCCGGUA
rnacentral:rRNA from 1 species